GUCUACGGCCAUGCCACCCUGGACAAACCCCAUCCUGUCUGAUCUCGGAAGCUCAGCAGGGUCGGGCCUGUUAGUACUUGGAUGGGAGACUACCUGGGAAGACCAGGUGCUGUUGGCA
rnacentral:rRNA from 1 species